UUGGCUAGCCGGCCAGAACGCCAGGAGGCCCGGGCCGCUCACCCCUCGAGGGGCUCGUGGGCUCGGCCUGUGGAACCUGCUUGUCCCGCCUGCAGCGCCCCGGAGGUUUCUGGGAGUGCCCGCCCGCCCGCGCUCAGUGCGCAGGCGUCAGACGCUCAGGGCCUGCGAGAGCGAGCUGAGUGGUCCCAGGGUCUACCCCUGGCAGGAGAGAGGGAGGUGACAGACACAUUCUGGUUUCAAAUUGAACAGCAUGCAUUGAUCUUGAGCCGCAUCUGUGUGAUUCUGGGUCACUACUUUUGGCUUUUGAAUAGUUACGAUGAGUGCUUGCAAGAAAAAGGAAGCUAUCACUUAAAAGUAAAAAACAGUUGUUCACCUGAGAUGAAUAGAUUCCAUGUGGAUGGGCUUCUUGUAUAUUAAACUUAUGACAUUUUAUAUGUGUUGAUAUGUGAUUUUUUUAAAAAAAGUAUAGGCAGCUUUUCAGAUUCACAAAGAGGUACUUUAAGCUAAAAAAGGUUAAGACCAUCAGAAACGUAGACUGCAGGAACUGAGAAGGAUUUGUUAGAAUACUAUGUGAUAUAAUUAGUAUAAAAAUAGUAUAUAUUUUAUAGAGGGAUACACACAAAACUCCUGCUAAUGGUAACCUUUAGGGAGAGAAGAGAGGAUUUAGGGUAAAGGGGGAGAAGUAAAUGUCAAAGGGAACUUAAGCAUUAUAGGUCAUUUCUCUCCCUCUCUCUCUGUUUUUGUUUGUUUGUUUGUUUUUGUUUUUGUUUUUGUUUUGAGACAGAGUCUCACUCUGUCGCCCGGGCUGGAGUGCAGUGGUGCGCUCUCAGCUCACUGCAACCUCCGCUUCCCGGGUUCAAGUGAUUCUCCUGCCUCAGCCUCCCGAGUAGCUGGGAUUACAGGCGCCUGCCACUACGCCCAGCUAAUUUUUUGUAUUUUUAGUGGAGACAGGGUUUCACCAUUUUAGCCAGGCUGGUCUCGAACUCCUGACCUCGUGAUUUGCCCACCUUGGCCUCCCAAAGUGCUGGGAUGACAGACGUGAGCUACCGCGCCCGGCCUCUCUCUCUCUUUUAGCAAGGUAGCAUCACUCAUAUAUUUAAAAUUUAAUUUUAAAAUAUAAAAGUCAAUAGAGACGUUGGUUUUGGAGCAAGGAAGUGAGCCAAGGAACCUAAACUGUGGAAGCAGACAAAAUCCAGAAAAACUUACACCUUAGGAAGACUGCAGAGAGAAGGGAAUAGUAAGGCAACAAGUUUUCAUAGGCCUGAGGUGUCUUGUUUGUUUAUGAAAUGCCAGUUUCAUAUUUAUGUCCUUAUAACCCAUUUUGACCUUGCUGACCUUUAAGGAUUAGUUAUCUCUUCAGCCCAGUUACUGGAUUCAGCUCCGUUAUAGUGUCUGACCCUGGACAGCAUUGGUAAGUAUGUUCUCUUUCCUGGCACUGGAUUAUUUUCUUUGAGAGUCUUUGUUGAUGUUGGCAAAUGAUUUUGAACUUCUUCCAACAGAUUAGGUUUAUGCCAGUACGUAUGAGUCUAGCAUUUAAUCAGCAAUCCCAAAAAAGUAUCUGAGGCACUCUGAUAUAAUUACUUUUCCCUAAGUGUUUAUUUUGAAAAAUGUUAAAGCUACAGGAAAAUUAAAAGAAUAAUGAUUUGCACUGUGUAUCCUUUACUUAGAUUCACCAGUUUUUAACAUUUUGGACCAUUUGCUUAAUCUCUGUCUGCAUGUAUUUACAUAUUUUUGUUUAUUUUUUGUUCACCAUUUAUGGGUAAGCUGCAGAUAUUAUAUAUUUCACCAUUGAGGAUUUCAGCACGCAUCUCGAAGAACAAGGUUGUUCUCCUGCAUAACCUCGAUAUCAUGAAUAUACAUAUAAAUUUUAACAAUGAUUCAUAAUAUUAUCUAAUAUAUAGUCCACAUUUAAAUUGCCCUAGUGUUUCCCAAAUGUCUGAUAUGUGUAUUUAAAAUAUCCAUCCUGGUCCCAAUUAAGGUCACACAUUACAGUAGGUGGGCCUAUCUUUUUAAUUUCUUUAAUCUAGAACAGCAUUCCCCCAGCCUGUUUUUGUAUUUCAUGACAUUUUUUAAGAGUUGAAGGGUCCAGAAUAUUUGUCUUGUAGAAUGCCUAACAUUCUGGAUUUGUUUGAUUGCUCUGUCAUAAUUAGGUUAAGUUUAAAUAUAUUUGGCAAGAAAACUAUGAAUGCUGGUGUGUUCUUCCUAUUGCAUCAUAUUAAGUGACACAUAAUUUCAGUUUGAUCCAUUACCAAUGAUACUAAAUUUUAUUACUUUGGUUCAAGGAGAUGUGCACCUGAUUUCUUCAUGGUAAAAAAAUACCUUUUUUUCUUUGAGGCUAAGAAGUAAUCUGAUGGGGAUAUUUUGAAACCAUUUCCCAAAUAGCCUUUUACCUGAUGGUUUUAAUAAUCAUUAAUGAUUCUUGUCUAAAUCAGUUAUUAAGUUAGGAGUUGCAAAAUGGUGAUUUUUAAUUUUACCAUUCCUUCUUGUAUAUAAAAGAGCUUUGCCUUUCCACCCUUUCCCUCUAUACCUCUUUAUUUUUUCUCUUUUGAAUAUCACUAUGGCUCAUGGAUUUUUAUUUUUUGUCCAAAGUACUUUAGCCUGUUAUCAUCCUCUGUGUUGCUCAAAUUGUUCCAAAUUGGCCUGUAAGAACCCCUGACGCUGGUGCCCGUGUCCCCAUUUGUCUUUGAGCACUUCCUUACUUUUUGACACAGGUAUUUCUUUUUUUUCCUUUUUCUUUCUUUCUUUUCUUUUCUUUUUUUUUUUUUUUCUUUUUUCAGGCAGAGUCUCGCUCUGUCGCCAAGACUGCAGUACAGUGGCAUGAUCUCGGCUCGGCUCACUGCAACCUCCACCUCCCGGGUCAGGCAGUUCUCCUGUCUCAGCCUCCCAAGUAGCUGGGAUUAGAGGCACCUGUCACCAUGCCCGGCUAAUUUUUUUAUAUUUUUAGUAGAGACAGGGUUUCACCAUGUUGGCCAGGCUGGCCUCAAACUCCUGAUCUCAAGUGAUCCACCCGCCUAGGCCUCCCAAAGUGUUGGGAUUACAGGUGUGAACCACCACGCCCAACCUGGCACAGAUAUUUCGUACUUAUAUUGUGCAUUCCCUGUCCCAGACUUGGAAUUAGCCACUUUGUGAGGAGAAUUUUUGAGAUGAUCUUUUCAAUGUAUAUUCUCAACAAAGAAAUAGUUAAGUAAUUUAUAGUACACAGGGAGCAGAAUGUUAUGCAUCCAAUAAACUUAGGAUUAUAAAUUUUAAAUUAACAAAAUGAAUCUUAAAAUUUUACGCAGUAUUAUGUCAGUGACAUUUUUCUUUUUUAAAGAGAUGGGGUCUCGCUCUGUCACCCAGGCUGGAGUGCAGUGGUGUAAUCAUGGCUCAUGGUAACCUUGAACUCCUAGGGUCAAGUCAACCUCCCUCAGCCUCCCAAAGUACUGGGAUUAUAAGCAUGAGCCACCCUGGCCAGCCCUAGGAAAAGAAAACUUUUAAAACCACCAGUGGUAUCACAAUCAAAAGAUAAACACAUAUCUUUUCAAAUGCCAUUAAAUAUUUGUACAGUCAUAUCAAAAACAUCACUUACUACAUACUAUUUUGUAAUCUGUUUUUUUCAUGUUUUAAAACAAAAUAUUGCAAUAAAAUGCAUAUACCUUUUAAAUGUUCAUAAUAUUUAAAAAGACAUCAUUAGUAUUUUGAAAUAAUGACAGAAAACAUUUUGAAUAUUACAAAAUUAAAAUUUGUUAAUAUGAUGUAUUUUAAUUGGAACAUAUUAAAGAUUACAUAGUGUCUAUUGAUCAUCAUAAUCCUUUUUAACCAUUCUACUGUUGUUGGAUUGAGAAUCCUGAAAUAUAUAUGAAUAGUUCCUCAUUCACAAUGGCCAUCUAUGUCAUGAAUCUUGACCCUGGCUUUGUGUGAUUAACAAUUUUUCAUUGCAGUGGCCAGUGACCUUCAAGACUUUUCCUAAAAGGAGUAGAGAUAACUGAAUUCAGAGAGAUUAUUUACAGAUUUUAUAUUGGAAACUAGAAGAAUCUAUCUGGCUAGGGAAGGACAUCUUCUCCCCCAAAUUAAAAUUUACAAUCUGGAGUAUCUUCUUCCUUUGUGAAUCCUGUGGAUUCUGUGUGCUUGCCUGAAUUUUUGUCCCUUGUUCUCAGAAAAUAAUUAGAGCUUUGCAGAAUCGUGUGGAGGCAACUCUGAUUGUAGCUUUCUUUAGCCCUUCCUAGGAUGGCCUUGCUUCCCUGACAACCAUGGAAAUGGGUCUUAAUUCCACAGCCAGAGUCUGACCAAUUUCUUAUCUUUUACGAUAUGCAAGAUGGUUUCUAAGUUUUUAAGCCCAUUAUAAUUUCCUUAUCAGAUAAUGGGAAAGAAAGAUAUGGUUAAAAAAGAAAUGAAAGAGUCUUGGUGAGGGAGGAAGAAUCAGGUAGAAUGAAACCGUUGGUUUUUCAAGCCCAGUUUUUCAGUCAACAGAAAUCAUAUUUUACAAUGUUAUUCGAGUAUUUGCCUUAGAGGCUCCAGUCCAUUGGAGGAAAUUGAGUCUACUUUAUUAUGACCUACCAAAAGAAUUUAACCUUCACCCUGUCUUUUAAUUAAAUUCGUAUGUUUCAAAGAUAGUUUCUAUUAAAUAUAGAGUAGAUACAAAAUAAUAUUUAUGAAGUAUAUGUAUUUUUUUAAUUCUCAAUACAGCAAAAACCUGUGUACCAACUACCUUUUUUAAGAAAGAAAAUAUUUAUUUUUUUGAGAUGGAGUCUCACUCUGUUGCCCAGGCUGGAGUGCAGUGGCAGGAUCUCAGCUCACUGCAACCUCCGCCUCUUGGGUUCAAGCGAUUCUCCUGCCUCAGCCUCCCGAGUAGCUGGGACUACAGGUGCGCACCACCAUGCCCAGCUAAUUUUUGUAUUUUCAGUAGAGAUGGGGUUUCACCUUGUUGGCCAGGCUGGUAUCGAACUCCUGACCUCAGGUGAUCCACCUGCCUCGGCCUCCCAAAGUGUUGAGAUUACAGGCGUGAGCCACCACGCCCAGCCAAAAGAAAAUAUUAACUACUAACUUUGAAGACUCCUAGACAUCUAUUCCCAUUUCUAUCCCCUUUUCCUUCAGACAUAACAAUUAUCCUGAGAUUUAUGUUUAUAAUUCUCUUGCUUUUCUUUAUAGUUUCAGCUACUUACUCCAAAACUAUGUUGUUUAUGGAUGUUUUUGAGUUUUAUAUAACUAUUUCAUAUAUCAUUCUGUGACUCGCUUUUUUGUCAACAUUAUGUUCCUGAGAUUAAGUAGUGUAGCUAUAAUCCAUUCAUUUUUAUGGUACAGUAUUCCAUUGCUUGACUAUAUUACAGUUUUUAAAAUCCAUUCUCAGUUGAUAGAAAUGUGAGUUGCUUCAAAGUUUGAAUUUAUAGUUCUAUUACGAACAUUCUUGUACAUGUUUACUGAUGGACAUGCAGAGGCUGUUCUAGGGCAAGGGUCAUCAAACUUUCUUGUGCAAAGGGACAUAUAGGAAAUAUUUUAGGCUUUGCGGGCCAUACAGUUUCUGUCACAACUACUCAACUCUGCCAUUGUAUCAUGAAAUCACAGCCAUAGACAAUAUGUAAAAGAACGAGUGUGUUCUAGUGAAACUUUAUGCCAAGGCAGGAUCUAGCCUGUGGGCCAUAGUUUGCUAAGCCCUGUUCUAGGAUAUAUAUGAAGAAUAUAUUACUGAACACAGAGUACAUAUACCAUGCAAAUAUUCUCAACUUUACUAGGCAAUAUGCAAUAUUUUCCAAAGGGGAUUUUCCAAUGUAUACUCUUUACUAACAUUUGAAAUGCUCAGAAUUUUAAGUUCAGGUGAUUCUGGUAGAUGUAUAUGCAGUAGAAUCUCAUUUUGGUUUUAAUUUGCAUUUCUCUGCUUACUAAUAAGGUUAAGAUUUUAAAGACUUGUUUAUUGGCCCUUCCUCUUCUGUGAAAUGCCUACUGAAACCCUUUGCUCAAUUUCUUUGGGUUGUCUUUUUAUUAUUAUAGGACUUUGUAAAAAUAUUUUGGAUGUUUAUUCUGUAUCAACUAUAUGUGUUGAAAAUAUCCCAGUUUAUAGCUUGUCUUUGUUUACAAUAGGGAUCUUUUAACAAAUAGAAAUUCUCUGUUUUAAUGUCAGAUUUAUGAAUUUUUUUCUCUAUGGCUUGUACUUUCUUGCAUUUUAAGAAAUCCUUCUCUAUAUCAAAGUCAUAAAUUUAGCUUCAUAUAUUAUCUUCUUAAAGGUUUAUAGUUUUGCCUUUCACAAUUUUUUUUAUAAAAUCUCUUAGAAUUCAUCUCUGUAGUAAGUUAAAGGAGAGAUACAAUUUCUGUGUUAUGUAUGUGUGCAUAUACCAGUUGUCCCAGAAUAUGCAAAGACCAACUUUUUCACUUAUCAGUAGUCAUAAAUUGGAUUAUUAUAUGUGUAUGGGACAUACAACACAUAUGUAUGUGUCACAUAUGUUGGGAAUUCAUUAUUCAAUUAUAUUGGUCAAUUUGUUCCCUGUGCUAUUUCCAUGCUGUAGCAGUUUUAUAAUAAUUUUUGGGAUAUAACACAAAAAUCUAUUUGAGACUUUAUUAAUCCUCUCCAUAAUAUAACUAUUUUUCUAUUUCUUGUAUUGUUUUGGUCUUUAUUAUUUCCUUGCUUUCACUUUCCUUGGAUUUAUUCUGCCAUUGUUUUCUCACAUUUUUAAGCUGGAUGCUAGAUAUUAUCAAUUUUUACACUUCUAAUAUAAACUGGUAAGGUUAUAACUUUUCCUCGAGGUCCAACUUUAGCUGCAUCCUACAGAAUUUUAUAUACAGUCAGUCUCCAACUUACAAUGGUUCUAUGAUUUUUUUAACUUUAUGAUGGUGUAAAAGCCAUAUGGAUUCAGUAGAAACGUAUUUCAAAUAUCCAUACGACAAUACUGUUUUUCACUUUUAGUUCAGUAUUCAAUAAAUUAAGACAUUCAGCACUUAAUUAUAAAAUAGGGUUUGUGUUAGAUGAUUUCAUCUAACUGGUAGGUAAUAUAAGUGUUCUGAUCAUGUUUAAAGUAGGUUAUGCUAAGCUGUCAUGCUUGGUAGGUUAGGUAAAAGCAUUUUUGACUUAAUGAUAUUUUCAACUUGUGAUGGGUUUAUUAGGGCAUAACCCCAUUGAGUCCAGGAGCAUCAGUAUAUUAAGUAGUAAUCUCAUCAUUCAGUUUUAAAUACUUUUAAAUUUCUACUAUGAUUUCUUUUAACCAUAAAUAAUUUAGAAUUAUAUUUCUUAACUAUAUAGGUCUUUCUAAUUUUCCUUUGAUGACAUAUAUCAAACAUAGCUACUUUUGUGGGCAGUGAAAGUACGGUAUAUAAAACUAGUCCUUUGAAAGUUUUCGAGAUUUGCCCGAUAGGCUAAUACGUGUCUAAGUUUUCUAAAUAUUCAGUGUGUCUUUGAUGAGAAUUUGUCUUUUGCAGCUAUUGUGUAUAAUAGUAACUGUUUUAAAAAUACAUAGCCAUUAAAUAAAGUUGUAAUUUUUGUUGAAAUCUAUAAUCUUACUGAUUGUAUCUCUUUUAUCUAUCAUUUACUAAAAGAACUAUGUAUAAUAUCUCGCCAUAUCUGUAAGGUUAUUUUUCCUUGUAGUUUCAUUAAUUUUUGGUUUAUAGUGUGUAUUUUUAGUAACUUAAGCUUGCAAUUUUUAUAUCUUCAUGGAAAAUUGAACAUUUCAUCAUGAUGCAGUUAGUGAUCACUUUAUAAUAAUGCUCUAGUCUGUUUUAUCUGACACUAAUAUCACAACACUAGCUUUCAUUUGAUU
rnacentral:lncRNA from 10 species